ensembl:lncRNA
UGAAAAGUGAAAGUGCAGUCGCUCAGUCGUGUCUGACCCUCAGCGACCCCACGAACCACAGCUUUCCAGGCUCCUCCGUCCAUGGAAUUUUCCAGGCUCCUCCGUCCAUGGGAUUUUCCAGCUUCACAGGUGAGAGCAGAGGCUUCCCAAGGGCCAAUCCAGUUCCAUUUGAGGCUGGACCAGUCAUCCAUGUGUUUGGCCUCUGGUUCUCAUCAGCUGUCUUGUUCUGUGUAAAGUGAAGAUGGUGUGCAGAGUGAAGCAGGGACAACGGAUUUGUUUGAGUUCUGAGCUGCUGUCAGAGUGGAGAGUCUGACUGGAUCUCCGUGCUAACCAAAAUGUCCAGCACUGGUGCAUCGCAUAUCGACUGAUUUCUAACUGGAAGUCCUGGGGUCUUCCUGGAGGAAAGGAUAGCAGGGACUUGUCCUUGUGUGUUGUCAGUGGUGGUGUCUUAGAUCAAAUGCCUGCGAAGUUCCAAA